AAUAUUGCACAAUGGAGGAAACUCUGAUGCAGCGACGCCGCGUGAGCGAUGAAGGUUNNNGGAUCNUCAAGCUCUGUCCUAGGNGACNAUAAUGACGGUACCCUAGGAGGAAGCCCCGGCUAACUACGUGCCAGCAGCCGCGGUAAUACGUAGGGGGCGAGCGUUGUCCGGAUUUAUUGGGCGUAAAGGGUACGCAGGCGGCCAUGUAAGUCAGAUGUGAAAGAUCACGGCUCAACCGUGGUAAGCAUUUGAAACUGCUUGGCUUGAGUUAAGGAGAGGAAAGUGGAAUUCCUGGUGUAGCGGUGAAAUGCGUAGAUAUCAGGAGGAAUAUCAGUGGCGAAGGCGACUUUCUGGACUUAUACUGACGCUGAGGUACGAAAGCGCGGGGAGCAAACA
rnacentral:rRNA from 1 species